AUUAAUCUCUCCAUCAUAUCUCUUUGAGUGAAACAAAAAAUGGAGAAGCCUGAUCUUUCCUCCUCCUGUACUUCUCUCAAGAACCCUGAGGCGGCGGUUAAUUGUCUUACUGGGAGAAAGACGGUGUCUAGGGCUAACUCAUCUCCAAGAUCGUCUCCAAAUCCCUGCCCGACUGAUCGUCCGUCUGUCGAAAAUACAGUUGAACGUGAAAUCAAGCUAGACAUUCCAAAUCUGACUGACCGUCAACCACUGCAAAAAAAUAGAUCAUUGCCGACGGUCUCUGCCGCGGUCAAUGACCCUAUUGCCGUCGGCAAUUAUGUCAUGCCAAACAUUCGAAACAUUUCUGGUGGCUCUCGUGUUCCUUUUGCAGCUGGGGGAAUAUAAUUAUGAUAAUGGAUGCAUCUUAUAUAUAUAUAUAUAUAUAUAUAUAUAUAUAUAUAUUAUAGUAGUGUUAUAAAUUAAUAUGUGUGUAUGCACUAUGCACUAUGUAAGACCUGCAUAUAUAAGGAAGUAGUUUGUCAAGAUCCCAUAAGAAACUAUAAGUUGAAUAAAUCACUACUUCCUCAGAUCUUUAAUUGACUGUGUGUCUCUUUAAUCUAUUUAGGGUUCCCGGGCUGUGAUCAGUUACACUUUGAUGUGCCUAUAGAUAUGUUUUGUGCU
rnacentral:lncRNA from 1 species